UAUUUAAUCAGGCAAAUUUACUGAAAAGUAAAGACGCAAAGCCAAAGGGUCUAACACAUGAAUUGUAGGACAUGUCAUGACAGCCGGUUACCGAG
rnacentral:ncRNA from 1 species